UGGGGAAUAUUGCGCAAUGGGGGGAACCCUGACGCAGCCAUGCCGCGUGAAUGAAGAAGGCCUUAGGGUUGUAAAGUUCUUUCGGUAUUGAGGAAAGUUGAUGUGUUAAUAGCACAUCAAAUUGACGUUAAAUACAGAAGAAGCACCGGCUAACUCCGUGCCAGCAGCCGCGGUAAUACGGAGGGUGCGAGCGUUAAUCGGAAUAACUGGGCGUAAAGGGCACGCAGGCGGUUAUUUAAGUGAGGUGUGAAAGCCCCGGGCUUAACCUGGGAAUUGCAUUUCAGACUGGGUAACUAGAGUACUUUAGGGAGGGGUAGAAUUCCACGUGUAGCGGUGAAAUGCGUAGAGAUGUGGAGGAAUACCGAAGGCGAAGGCAGCCCCUUGGGAAUGUACUGACGCUCAUGUGCGAAAGCGUGGGGAGCAAACAGGAUUAGAUACCCUGGUAGUCCACGCUGUAAACGCUGUCGAUUUGGGGGUUGGGGUUUAACUCUGGCGCCCGUAGCUAACGUGAUAAAUCGACCGCCUGGGGAGUACGGCCGCAAGGUUA
rnacentral:rRNA from 1 species